rnacentral:rRNA from 1 species
CCUACGGGAGGCUGCAGUGGGGAAUAUUGGACAAUGGGGGCAACCCUGAUCCAGCCAUGCCGCGUGUGUGAAGAAGGCCCUCGGGUUGUAAAGCACUUUCAGUGAGGAAGAACGCCUGGUGGUUAAUACCCAUCAGGAAAGACAUCACUCACAGAAGAAGCACCGGCUAACUCCGUGCCAGCAGCCGCGGUAAUACGGAGGGUGCGAGCGUUAAUCGGAAUUACUGGGCGUAAAGCGCGCGUAGGUGGCUUGAUAAGCCGGUUGUGAAAGCCCCGGGCUCAACCUGGGAACGGCAUCCGGAACUGUCAAGCUAGAGUGCAGGAGAGGAAGGUAGAAUUCCCGGUGUAGCGGUGAAAUGCGUAGAGAUCGGGAGGAAUACCAGUGGCGAAGGCGGCCUUCUGGACUGACACUGACACUGAGGUGCGAAAGCGUGGGUAGCAAACAGGAUUAGAUACCCCUUGUAGUC